rnacentral:rRNA from 1 species
UUCCUACGGGAGGCAGCAGUAGGGAAUUUUCGUCAAUGGGCGCAAGCCUGAACGAGCAAUGCCGCGUGAACGAGGAAGGUCUUCGGAUCGUAAAGUUCUGUUGAAGUGGAAAAAGAGCGGAGAGAGGAAAUGCUUUCUGAUUGAUAUUACCCUUCGAGGAAGUCACGGCUAACUACGUGCCAGCAGCCGCGGUAAUACGUAGUUGGCGAGCGUUAUCCGGAAUGAUUGUGCGUAACUGUUUC